CAUGGCAACACUGGCGUGUGGUGAAAAUUUCCUCCACCGCGGUUUCGCGUGUCCCGUGUUUUGGUGCUAGAUCGCGCCCUUUUCCGGAAAAAGUUUUUCUUUAAAUCCACCGUCUACGGCCCAUCGAACUCGGCUUCAUCUGGGUUAACCGGUAGUGGCUCACCAGUUAGCGGCAUCCUCCAGCAUAGCGACCGGCGAAAAGAAAGGAAGCCCCUCCUCGGUUAGCAGCCCGGCGAGCGACGACAAGCGCAUCAUCCCGCUUUACCUCUUUCAGCGUGCGUGCGUACGGCGGCGAAAGGUACGAUAAACAACACACCCAGGUUUCUGCCAGGCACCAGCAACAUGAACGUCGAGGAAGAAGUGUUCCGGAUUCAGAAGAAGCUCGGCAAAAUGACAUCCUUAUCGAAUGGCUCGCGUGCGUGCGUACGGCGGCGAAGGGUACGAGAAACAACACACCCAGGUUUCUGCCAGGCACCAGCAACAUGAACGUCGAGGAAGAAGUGUUCCGGAUUCACAAGAAGCUCGGCAAAAUGACAUACUUAUCGGAAUUUUUUUUUUUAAUUUCUUAAAUUAAAUACCGCUGUCUUCCUUUCUGCUUUCCCCC